UCGAACCUCAGGUCCCUUUGGGACCCCUGCAAGCCCCGGGUACCCCCUCAUACCGGCUCGGGGGCCCCUAGCUCUUACCACUCUGCACCGGCCGGGCCACUGGGCGCUGCCAUCGCAAAGGCGCCGGAGCCCGAGCUGCACCGGACCAGGGUCACGGGGUGGCUGGGUCGCGGGGCAGCAGGAAAGUUUCCGUAGUGCCAGCCAGGCGGAGCGGGCCGAGCAGGCGGCGGGCCGGGCAGGAGCGCGCUCCGGCCGGCUCGGUGCCUCCGCCUGUGCGGCGGUGCUCUGGCUCCAGGGCUCCCCCGGCCACCCGGCCGGCCCAGCCCCGCCAAUCGCAGGCCCCGCCACCAGCAGCUCCGCCCGCCCGGCCGGGACGGAGCGGAGGCGGGGAGGGGAGGGGCGGGGGCGCACCUGUUUGGCCAAUCGACCCCACUACGAACCACCUCGCCCCGGCCAAACCGCCGGACUGAGCAGGGCGAUUCCCUCGGCUCUCGGCACACGCCCCCUCUCCGCGCUUGGGCCCGGGAAUCUAGGCCGGGCCACGUGCCCCCCCCCGCCCCUCCCCCGCCCGGACCCGGCCGGGUCGAGCGCGCCGCUGUCUCCGCCUGCCUGCGGGGACCCUCGGUGCGGCCGGACUGCGCUCCUUCCCCAGCCCCUGGGAUGUCAAACACAAAAUCCCGGCUUUAGCCUGGGGUCUAUGGAGAUGGGAAGACUGAGAGGCCAAAGGGAGGCGAACGCUUCUCGGUCGUGGUGGCGAGAUUGCGAUUUUUUCAAACGAAAGCUAAAGCAAACCCACUUAGGACAUCUUCAGUUCCUCCUCUCAUGGGAAGAGCCAGCGAGUGGUGGUGACAUCAGACCCCUGACAGCUUCUAGCCCAAAAUAGCCUUCUCUUUAGACUGACCCUGUCCCAUCACAGCUGCUUCUGCUCACCAUUCCCAGCUGAACUGAUAUUGCCUUCGGUUCCCGUUCCUGCCAUAUCAGCCUCGUCCCUAGCGCCGCGCUAACAAAGCCUCCCAGGAGGCAGGAUUCUCCCUGGGCAAAUGAAGGGCCCUCCGGGCAGCAGUGAUACAGCUCUCAGACAGUGCCUCCAAAUCAAGGUCCUGGGCUCUGGAGCAACCUGGGCUCAAAUCACCUGCCUCCCUGUAUGAUCUUAGCCAUCACUUAACUUCCCAGAGCCUCCGUUGCCUCAUCUGGAAAAUGGAACUAACGGCAACCUACCGGGUGUGUGGUGGUGAGGAGUCGAGCAGACGAAGUCCAUGAACGACCUUGCAUGGAGUCUCGCCCGGAAAAUGUACUCAAUAAAUAAGACUGGUUGUUGU
rnacentral:lncRNA from 1 species